GAGCAUGUGGUUUAAUUCGAAGCAACGCGCAGAACCUUACCAGCCCUUGACAUCCCGAUCAGGAUUAUCAGAGAUGAUGAUUGUCGGUUCGGCCGGAUCGGUGACAGGUGCUGCAUGGCUGUCGUCAGCUCGUGUCGUGAGAUGUUGGGUUAAGUCCCGCAACGAGCGCAACCUUCGCCCUUAGUUGCCAUCAUUAAGUUGGGCACUCUAAGGGGACUGCCGGUGAUAAGCCGAGAGGAAGGUGGGGAUGACGUCAAGUCCUCAUGGCCCUUACGGGCUGGGCUACACACGUGCUACAAUGGUGGUGACAGUGGGCAGCGAGACCGCGAGGUCGAGCUAAUCUCCAAAAGCCAUCUCAGUUCGGAUUGCACUCUGCAACUCGAGUGCAUGAANUUGGAAUCGCUAGUAAUCGUGGAUCAGCAUGCCACGGUGAAUACGUUCCCGGGCCUUGUACACACCGCCCGUCACNCCAUGGGAGUUGGCUUUACCCGAAGGUGCCGCGCUAACCGCAAGGAGNCAGGCAACCACGGUAGGGUCAGCGACUGGGGUGAAGUCGUAACAAGGUAAC
rnacentral:rRNA from 2 species